rnacentral:rRNA from 1 species
AGAGUUUGAUCAUGGCUCAGGACGAACGCUGGCGGCACGCUUAACACAUGCAAGUCGAACGAGAGAAGAGGAGCUUGCUUUUCUGAUCUAGUGGCGGACGGGUGAGUAACACGUGAGCAAUCUGCCUUCCAGAGGGGGAUACCGAUUGGAAACGAUCGUUAAUACCGCAUAACAUAAUUGAACAGCAUGAUUUGAUUAUCAAAGAUUUAUCGCUGAAAGAUGAGCUCGCGUCUGAUUAGCUAGUUGGUAAGGUAACGGCUUACCAAGGCGACGAUCAGUAGCCGGACUGAGAGGUUGAUCGGCCACAUUGGGACUGAGACACGGCCCAGACUCCUACGGGAGGCAGCAGUGGGGAAUAUUGCACAAUGGAGGAAACUCUGAUGCAGCGAUGCCGCGUGAGGGAAGAAGGUUUUAGGAUUGUAAACCUCUGUCUUCAGGGACGAAAAAAGACGGUACCUGAGGAGGAAGCUCCGGCUAACUACGUGCCAGCAGCCGCGGUAAUACGUAGGGAGCGAGCGUUGUCCGGAAUUACUGGGUGUAAAGGGAGCGUAGGCGGGAUCGCAAGUCAGAUGUGAAAACUAUGGGCUUAACCCAUAAACUGCAUUUGAAACUGUGGUUCUUGAGUGAAGUAGAGGUAAGCGGAAUUCCUAGUGUAGCGGUGAAAUGCGUAGAUAUUAGGAGGAACAUCAGUGGCGAAGGCGGCUUACUGGGCUUUAACUGACGCUGAGGCUCGAAAGCGUGGGGAGCAAACAGGAUUAGAUACCCUGGUAGUCCACGCCGUAAACGAUGAUUACUAGGUGUGGGGGGACUGACCCCUUCCGUGCCGCAGCAAACGCAAUAAGUAAUCCACCUGGGGAGUACGACCGCAAGGUUGAAACUCAAAGGAAUUGACGGGGGCCCGCACAAGCAGUGGAGUAUGUGGAUUAAUUCGAAGCAACGCGAAGAACCUUACCAGGUCUUGACAUCGUAUGCAUAGCUCAGAGAUGAGUGAAAUCUCUUCGGAGACAUAUAGACAGGUGGUGCAUGGUUGUCGUCAGCUCGUGUCGUGAGAUGUUGGGUUAAGUCCCGCAACGAGCGCAACCCUUACUGUUAGUUGCUACGCAAGAGCACUCUAGCAGGACUGCCGUUGACAAAACGGAGGAAGGUGGGGAUGACGUCAAAUCAUCAUGCCCCUUAUGACCUGGGCCUCACACGUACUACAAUGGCUGUCAACAGAGGGAAGCAAAGCCGCGAGGUGGAGCGAACCCCUAAAAGCAGUCUUAGUUCGGAUUGUAGGCUGCAACCCGCCUACAUGAAGUCGGAAUUGCUAGUAAUCGCAGAUCAGCAUGCUGCGGUGAAUACGUUCCCGGGCCUUGUACACACCGCCCGUCACGCCAUGGGAGUCGGUAACACCCGAAGCCUGUAGUCUAACCGCAAGGAGGACGCAGUCGAAGGUGGGAUUGAUGACUGGGGUGAAGUCGUAACAAGGUA